rnacentral:rRNA from 1 species
AACGAACGCUGGCGGCGCGCCUAAUACAUGCAAGUCGAGCGAGAAGACGUAGCAAUACGUUUGUAAAGCGGCGAACGGGUGAGGAAUGCAUGGGUAACCUACCCUCGAGUGGGGAAUAACUAGCCGAAAGGUUAGCUAAUACCGCGUACGCUCCUUGGACUUCGGUUCAGGGAGGAAAGCGAUACCGUGGGUAUCGCGCUCUUGGAUGGGCUCAUGUCCUAUCAGCUUGUUGGUGAGGUAACGGCUCACCAAGGCUUCGACGGGUAGCUGGUCUGAGAGGACGACCAGCCACACUGGGACUGAGACACGGCCCAGACUCCUACGGGAGGCAGCAGUGGGGAAUAUUGGACAAUGGGCGAAAGCCUGAUCCAGCGAUGCCGCGUGUGUGAAG